rnacentral:misc_RNA from 1 species
CACUUUCGAUUUUUUUUUUCCUCACGGUUAAUUUGGCGAUCCGCUUUCGCGUCGAGACGGGCUAUGUCGCGGGACCCGGGGUGUCGGGCUGGGGAAAUUGCGUUAAUUGAGUCGAUUAAAAGCCGGAAGUUGAGCACUCUAGACUUUUCUCGAGAAGAGAAAUUGAGUCGCUUCAAGUAAAUUUGCAAUGCAUAACAUGAC